GUAAAUGUCAACAUCCUGAGCUGGUUUGGGGACGGAUGACCUUUAAGUCGCUUCCUUCCCGUAUACAAAGAUUCAUUUUUAAGCCUAUCCGACACAUUGGUUAUACAGUAACAGUAUUCUAUUGCGUGUCUGGUCCUCUAUGCAUAUACCUUGCUAAUAACUGCUGACAAUUGUUAUUUUCCUGUUUUUCUCCCAGGGUGACCAAGGAGACAUUGGGCCACGGAUGGUUUUUCCCCGAUAUGACCAUGGCUUUCUCUCUGGAGAGCAGUCCAACAGCUUUCAGAGACGCUUUCUGAAGGGUGACCAGGGCCAGGCUGGACCUGCUGGUCCUCCCGGUCCCCCAGGUCCUCCUGGUCCCCGAGGGCCCCCUGGAAACACAGGCAAGGAUGGGCCCCGUGGUCCUGCUGGAGAGCCGGUAAGAGCCUCUCCUCAUGCAUCAACUCACUAUACAAAACAAUGCACCCAUACACACCCACACACUCCACUCUGCUGCUGUUAUUCUCCUCCUUCAUCACUCUGCCCCUUUCCCCUUAGCCUCUAACUAAGGUUUCACCACAAAGAAUGCAGUCACUUAAAAC
rnacentral:lncRNA from 1 species